rnacentral:rRNA from 1 species
UACGUAGGGGGCGAGCGUUGUCCGGAUUUAUUGGGCGUAAAGAGCUCGUAGGCGGUUCGAUAAGUCGGACGUGAAAUCUCCACGCUCAACGUGGAGGGGCCGUUCGAUACUGUCGUGACUCGAGUCCGGUAGGGGAGUGUGGAAUUCCCGGUGUAGCGGUGAAAUGCGCAGAUAUCAGGAGGAACACCGAUUGCGAAGGCAGCUCGCUGGGACGUCACUGACGCUGAGACGCGAAAGCGUGGGGAGCAAACAGG